GCGCUAGUGGAGCAUCGCUGCCCGGAAAGCAGAAGGCGCGGGUUCGAGCCCUGCCUGGCGCA
rnacentral:tRNA from 1 species